CACACUUGGAAGGGGAAGACUCGGGCUGUUCUCAGUGGUGUGUCUAAGGUUUUAGAUGUCCUCCUUUUUUCGCAGGGAGGCCGUUAAAUCGUGCUGCUGGGAACCAUACGGGCAGAUGGAGUCCAGAGCAACGUGGUUUCCCUCAACAAUGUCAGAGCCACAGUGAAACUGAA
rnacentral:lncRNA from 1 species